rnacentral:ncRNA from 1 species
UGGUCCUAGCCUUGAAAUCAAUUAUUACUUAAUAUACACAUGCAAGUCUCCGCACCCCUGUGAAAACGCCCUUUACCUCCCACAGAAAUAAGGAGCCGGUAUCAGGCACAAUCAUUAGCCCAAGACACCUAGCUAUGCCACACCCACAAGGGAACUCAGCAGUGAUUAACAUUGAACAUAAGCGACAGCUUGACUCAGUUAAAGUAAAAAGAGCCGGCAAAUCUGGUGCCAGCCGCCGCGGUUACACCAUGAGGCUCAAAUUGAUCUUUUUCGGCGUAAAGCGUGAUUAAAGUUAUCAAAACAAUUAUAGUUGUAUUAAAACUAAGCCGUAAUACGCUUGUCUUUAAGAAACUCAAUAAACGAAAGUUACUAUAUUUAUCCCAACUUGAACCCACGACAGCUAGGACACAAACUGGGAUUAGAUACCCCACUAUGCCUAGUCGUAAACUUUUAACUACACCUACAUCGCCAGGGAACUACGAGCAAAGCUUAAAACCCAAAGGACUUGACGGUACCCCACAUCCACCUAGAGGAGCCUGUCCUAUAAUCGAUAACCCCCGCUAAACCUCACCAUUUUUGGUUAAUCAGCCUGUAUACCUCCGUCGUCAGCUUACCUCGUGAGCGAUCUAUAGUGAGCUUAAUGUCCACACGUCAAUACGUCAGGUCAAGGUGCAGUAAAUAAAAUGGGAAGAGAUGGGCUACACUCUCUAAUAUAGAAUAUACGAAAGACUAUAUAUGAAACCUAGUCAAAAGGCGGAUUUAGUAGUAAAAAGAGAUCAUUAAGCUCUUUUUAACACGGCACUGGGGUGUGUACACACCGCCCGUCACCCUCUUCAAUACCAAGAAAUAGUAUAUAACACAUAUCAGUAAACUAGAAGAGGCAAGUCGUAACAUGGUAAGUAUACCGGAAGGUGUGCUUGGAAA